GACGAACGCUGGCGGCGUGCUUAACACAUGCAAGUCGAACGGAAAGGCCCUGCUUUUGUGGGGUGCUCGAUUGGCGAACGGGUGAGUAACACGUGAGUAACCUGCCCUUGACUUUGGGAUAACUUCAGGAAACUGGGGCUAAUACCGGAUAGGAUCUCCUGCUGCAUGGUGGGGGUUGGAAAGAUUCGGCGGUGUGGGAUGGACUCGCGGCUUAUCAGCUUGUUGGUGGGGUAGUGGCUUACCAAGGCUUUGACGGGUAGCCGGCCUGAGAGGGUGACCGGCCACCUUGGGACUGCGAUACGGCCCAGACUCCUACGGGAGGCAGCAGUGGGGAAUAUUGCACAAUGGGCGGAAGCCUGAUGCAGCAACGCCGCGUGCGGGAUGCCGGCCUUCGGGUUGUAAACCGCUUUCGCCUGUGACGAAGCGUGAGUGACGGUAAUGGGUAAAGAAGCACCGGCUAACUACGUG
rnacentral:rRNA from 1 species